rnacentral:rRNA from 1 species
UACGGGGGGGGCAAGCGUUGUUCGGAAUUACUGGGCGUAAAGGGCUCGUAGGCGGCCAACUAAGUCAGACGUGAAAUCCCUCGGCUUAACCGGGGAACUGCGUCUGAUACUGGAUGGCUGGAGUUUGGGAGAGGGAUGCGGAGUUCCAGGUGUAGCGGUGAAAUGCGUAGAGAUCCGGAAGAACACCGGUGGCGAAGGCGGCCCGCUGGGCAGGAAGGCCCCCUCACGGGGGCCGGCUGACGCUGAGGCGCGACAGCGUGGGGAGCAAACAGG